GCAAAGAUUGUUAAACAAGUCUACUCUGUACUUCCUGUGUAUGAUAAAAUAGUCCCUGCUCUUCUUAGUGAUGGUGUAUGGAAUCUUCCCAAGUCAUGUAGCUUUACGCCUGGUGUCCCCAUUGGACCAAUGCUUGCAAAGUCAAUCAAAAAGGUUUCUGAGAUAGCAGAUAAGUUCCAGAAUAUGGACUUCACUUGUGAAUACAAGUAUGAUGGAGAGCGUGCCCAGAUACAUUACCUGGAGAAUGGUUCAGUCGAGAUAUACAGUCGAAACGCUGAGCGGAAUACUGGAAAAUAUCCAGAUGUUAUAGUUACGAUUUCAAGAUUAAAGAAGGGACCUGUAAAAUCAUUUGUUUUGGACUGUGAAAUAGUUGCUUACAACCGAGAGGAAAAACAAAUUCUGCCCUUUCAGAUCCUUAGUAGUCGGCCC
rnacentral:misc_RNA from 1 species